UAACGCUAAUGCUGCUGCUCUAAUAAUAAUAAUGCUCACCUCACUGUAACUACAUCACAACUUUCCUCUGUUCCAACACCUCACACGGUGAAAAGUCCAACCUGGUCUCCUUCAGAUCAGACUAAACUUUCACACCUCUGCACACAAUGAACAGGAAGCUGUUUAAAGCCUCCAGGACUGUUUUUACAUUCAUGCUGAACUGUGUUUCUGAACUGUGCUCCUGGUUUGGGUGACGUUUACCUCCUGGAUUCAGAGAAAAAACCUCAACUCUCCCCCUGGUUCUGAAGGUCGCUUCUAAAGUCUCCUCUUUGUUUGGAUUAACAUUGCAGCACAGAAGCCUCCGUAACAUCAUCAGGUUAUUGAAUCACAGACAGAAAAUCAAACCAGGACUGCAGGCUGUGGAGGAUAAAGAGUCCAGCUCUGAAGAAGGAGGUCUCUGGUUCACAUAUACAGUGUUGGAAGCAGCAGUAACACCUCCCUAGUGACCACCAUUUUGGAGAGGGUAAAGUAUACCACAGAGUACCACAACUAGACAUCUCACUGAAGGUGUUGGGUAGACAAUAUUUGAAGGGACAUUUGCUUCCAUCUUCACUGCUCAUUCUGCAUCGUAUACCAUCACGUUCUUUUGACGACAUGCUAACCUUUGACAGAUUUUUGGAUGAUCUACUUCACUCUGACUCUUUUCAAAGUUUACAGUGCUA